AGCUCCAAAAGUGUAUAUUUAAGUUGCUGCGGUUAAAAAGCUCGUAGUCGGAUGUCGGGCGCGGUCGAUCGGUCCGUCGCGAGACGUGUCACUGGUCGGCCGGCCAAUGCAGCCUGUGUCCCGGCGGUGCUCUUGAUUGAGUGCCGCCGGUGGGCCAGGCCGGUUACUUUGAAAAAAUUAGAGUGUUCAAAGCAGGCCCUGGGAGCCUGAAUAUCGGUGCACGGAAUAACGAAAGAGGACCUCGGUCUUGCUUUUGUUGGUUUUUGAAGGCGCGAGGUAAUGAUCGAGAGAGACGGACGGGGGCAUCCGUACUGUGCCGUCAGAGGUGAAAUUCUUGGACCGGCGCAAGACGAACUACUGCGAAAGCAUUUGCCAAGAAUGUUUUCC
rnacentral:rRNA from 2 species